rnacentral:rRNA from 1 species
GACGAACGCUGGCGACGUGCUUAACACAUGCAAGUCGAACGCUGAAGCGCAGCUUUUGUUGGGUGGAUGAGUGGCGAACGGGUGAGUAACACGUGAGUAACCUGCCCCCUUCUUUGGGAUAACGCCCGGAAACGGGUGCUAAUACUGGAUAUUAACUGGUCAUCGCAUGGGGGUUGGAGGAAAGGGCGUUUCUGGUGGGGGAUGGGCACGCGGCCUAUCAGCUUGUGGGUGGGGUGAUGGCAUACCAAGGCUUUGACGGGUAGCCGGCCCGGGCGGGUGACCGGUAACAUUGGGACUGAUAUACGGCCCAGACUCCUGCGGGAGGCGGCAGUGGGGAGUAUUGCGCGAGGGGCUCAAGCCUGAUGCCGCGACGCCUCGUGAGGGUUGGCGGCCUUCGGGUUGUUAUCCUCUUUCGCGCAUGGUCAAGCCGCAACAAUGGUUGUGGUGAGGGUUGUGUGUAAAGAAGCGCCGGCUAACUACGUG